UACAGAGGGUGCAAACGUUGUUCGGAAUUACUGGGUGUAAAGCGCGUGUAGGCGGGAGGCCAAGUCUGCGGUGAAAUCGCUCGGCUCAACUGGGCGGGGUCCGUGGAAACUGGUCACCUGGAGGACGGUAGAGGCGAGUGGAAUUCCCGGUGUAGUGGUGAAAUGCGUAGAGAUCCGGAGGAACACCAGUGGCGAAGGCGACACGCUGGGCCGUACCUGACACUGAUGCGCGACAGCAUGGGGAGCAAACAGG
rnacentral:rRNA from 1 species